GACGAACGCUGGCGGCGUGCCUAAUACAUGCAAGUAGAACGCACAGUUUAUACCGUAGCUUGCUACACCAUAGACUGUGAGUUGCGAACGGGUGAGUAACGCGUAGGUAACCUGCCUGGUAGCGGGGGGUAACUAUUGGGAACGAUAGCUAAUACCGCAUAAUAUUCAUUAUUGCAUGGUAAUUAAUUGAAUGGUGCAAUUGCACCACUACCAGAUGGACCUGUGUUGUAUUAGCUAGUAGGUGAGGUAACGGCGCACCUAGGCGACGAUACAUAGCCGACCUGAGAGGGUGAACGGCCACACUGGGACUGAGACCCGGCCCAGACUCCUUCGGGAGGCAGCAGGAGGGAAUCUUCGGGAAUAGGCGAAAGUCUGAACGAGCAACGCCGCGGGAGGGAAGAAGGUUUUCGGGUCGUAAAGAUCUGUUGUAUGAGAAGAACGGGUGUGAGAGUGGAAAGUGCACGCUGUGACGGUAUCUUAUCAGAAAGGGACGGCUAACUACGUG
rnacentral:rRNA from 1 species